GAUGAACGCUGGCGGCAGGCCUAACACAUGCAAGUCGAGGGAGAGGUUACCUUCGGGUAACCAAAACCGGCGCACGGGUGCGUAACGCGUAUACAAUCUGCCUUUCACAUAGGGAUAGCCCGAAGAAAUUUGGAUUAAUACCUAAUGGUAUAUAAGAGCGGCAUCGUUUUUAUAUUAAAGCUACGGUGGUGAAAGAUGAGUAUGCGUUCUAUUAGCUAGUUGGAGAGGUAACGGCUCCCCAAGGCGACGAUAGAUAGGGGUUCUGAGAGGGAUGUCCCCCACACUGGUACUGAGAUACGGACCAGACUCCUACGGGAGGCAGCAGUGAGGAAUAUUGGACAAUGGUCGGAAGACUGAUCCAGCCAUGCCGCGUGCAGGAUGAAGGUCCUAUGGAUUGUAAACUGCUUUUGUAAGGGAAGAAUAAGGAGUACGUGUACUUUGAUGACGGUACCUUACGAAUAAGCAUCGGCUAACUCCGUG
rnacentral:rRNA from 1 species